rnacentral:rRNA from 1 species
CUUGCUCUCGAAGAUCUAGUGGCGAACGGGUGCGUAACACGUGAGAAACCUGCCCCAGACUUGGGAAUAACAGUCGGAAACGACUGCUAAUACCGAAUACCCCCGGAGUGUCGCAUGGCACACCGAGGACAGCGUCAGCGGUUUGGGAGGGUCUCGCGGCCUAUCAGCUAGUUGGUGAGGUAACGGCUCACCAAGGCAUCGACGGGUAGCUGGUCUGAGAGGAUGAUCAGCCACACUGGGACUGAGACACGGCCCAGACUCC